rnacentral:rRNA from 1 species
AACGAACGCUGGCGGCAUGCCUAACACAUGCAAGUCGAACGAGACCUUCGGUUCUAGUGGCGCACGGGUGCGUAACGCGUGGGAACCUGCCCUUAGGUUCGGAAUAACUCCCCGAAAGGGGUGCUAAUACCGGAUAAUGUCUUCGGACCAAAGAUUUAUCGCCUUUGGAUGGGCCCGCGUUGGAUUAGCUAGUUGGUAGGGUAAAAGCCUACCAAGGCGACGAUCCAUAGCUGGUCUGAGAGGAUGAUCAGCCACACUGGGACUGAGACACGGCCCAGACUCCUACGGGAGGCAGCAGUGGGGAAUAUUGGACAAUGGGCGAAAGCCUGAUCCAGCAAUGCCGCGUGAGUGAUGAAGGCCUGAGGGUUGUAAAGCUCUUUUACCCGGGAUGAUAAUGACAGUACCGGGAGAAUAAGCUCCGGCUAACUCCGUG